GGUUCAGGAUGAACGCUGGCGGCGUGCUUAACACAUGCAAGUCGAACGAAGCACUGAAGAAUGGAGAUUCGUCAAAGUUCUCUUUGACUGAGUGGCGAACGGGUGAGUAAUGCGUGAGCAACCUGCCCUUCAGAGGGGGACAACAGUUGGAAACGACUGCUAAUACCGCAUGACGUGUUCGGGAGGCAUCUCUUGGAUACCAAAGGAGAAAUCCGCUGAAGGAUGGGCUCACGUCUGAUUAGCUAGUUGGCGGGCAACGGCCCACCAAGGCGACGAUCAGUAGCCGGACUGAGAGGUUGAACGGCCACAUUGGGACUGAGAUACGGCCCAGACUCCUACGGGAGGCAGCAGUGGGGAAUAUUGGGCAAAUGGGCGAAAGCCUGACCCAGCAACGCCGCGUGAAGGAAGAAGGCCUUCGGGUUGUAAACUUCUUUUAACAGGGACGAAGAAGUGACGGUACCUGUUGAAUAAGCCACGGCUAACUACGUGCCAGCCGCGGC
rnacentral:rRNA from 1 species